rnacentral:rRNA from 1 species
CCUACGGGUGGCAGCAGUGAGGAAUAUUGGUCAAUGGACGAGAGUCUGAACCAGCCAAGUAGCGUGAAGGAUGACUGCCCUAUGGGUUGUAAACUUCUUUUAUAUGGGAAUAAAGUGUUCCACGUGUGGGAUUUUGUAUGUACCAUAUGAAUAAGGAUCGGCUAACUCCGUGCCAGCAGCCGCGGUAAUACGGAGGAUCCGAGCGUUAUCCGGAUUUAUUGGGUUUAAAGGGAGCGUAGGUGGAUGGUUAAGUCAGUUGUGAAAGUUUGCGGCUCAACCGUAAAAUUGCAGUUGAAACUGGCAGUCUUGAGUACAGUAGAGGUGGGCGGAAUUCGUGGUGUAGCGGUGAAAUGCUUAGAUAUCACGAAGAACUCCGAUUGCGAAGGCAGUUCACUGGACUGCAACUGACACUGAGGCUCGAAAGUGUGGGUAUCAAACAGGAUUAGAUACCCCUGUAGUC